rnacentral:rRNA from 1 species
UACGUAGGGCGCAAGCGUUAUCCGGAAUUAUUGGGCGUAAAGAGCUCGUAGGCGGUUUGUCGCGUCUGCCGUGAAAGUCCGGGGCUCAACUCCGGAUCUGCGGUGGGUACGGGCAGACUAGAAUGAUGUAGGGGAGACUGGAAUUCCUGGUGUAGCGGUGAAAUGCGCAGAUAUCAGGAGGAACACCGAUGGCGAAGGCAGGUCUCUGGGCAUUAACUGACGCUGAGGAGCGAAGCAUGGGGAGCGAACAGGA